rnacentral:rRNA from 1 species
UGGGGAAUAUUGCACAAUGGAGGGAACUCUGAUGCAGCAACGCCGCGUGCGGGAUGACGGCCUUCGGGUUGUAAACCGCUUUCAGUCAUGACGAAGCUUUUGUGACGGUAGUGGUAGAAGAAGCACCGGCUAACUACGUGCCAGCAGCCGCGGUGAUACGUAGGGUGCGAGCGUUGUCCGGAAUUAUUGGGCGUAAAGAGCUUGUAGGCGGUUUGUCGCGUCGAUAGUGUAAACACGCAGCUUAACUGUGUGCCUGCUGUCGAUACGGGCUGACUAGAGGAGGGUAGGGGAGAAUGGAAUUCCCGGUGGAGCGGUGGAAUGCGCAGAUAUCGGGAGGAACACCAGUGGCGAAGGCGGUUCUCUGGACCUUUCCUGACGCUGAGAAGCGAAAGCGUGGGUAGCAAACAGG